rnacentral:rRNA from 1 species
UGGGGAAUAUUGGGCAAUGGGCGAAAGCCUGACCCAGCAACGCCGCGUGAAGGAAGAAGGUUUUCGGAUCGUAAACUUCUAUCCUUGGUGAAGAUAAUGACGGUAGCCAAGAAGGAAGCCCCGGCUAACUACGUGCCAGCAGCCGCGGUAAUACGUAGGGGGCAAGCGUUGUCCGGAAUGAUUGGGCGUACAGGGCGCGUAGGCGGCCUGGUAAGUCUGGAGUGAAAGUGCUGCUUUUAAGGUGGGAAUUGCUUUGGAUACUGUCGGGCUUGAGUGCAGGAGAGGUAAGUGGAAGUCCCGGUGUAGCGGUGAAAUGCGUAGAGAUCGGGAGGAACACCAGUGGCGAAGGCGACUUACUGGACUGUAACUGACGCUGAGGCGCGAAAGUGUGGGGAGCAAACA